rnacentral:lncRNA from 1 species
UUGGUUUGCUAUUUUCAUUUUCUGUGUGUCUGUGUGUAUGCUUUUCUCAGGUGUGGUCGGAGUGGUUAUGUGAAUAUUGCGCUUGUGCGUUGACACGGAAAACGUUCAUCCUUCUUGUAACUCCAGAAAAUACUUAAAUUACUCUGAAACUAGUUGUACUGUAAAGAAACAAGUUGAUGACUCAAUGGGUGACUAUCAGGAGGAGGUAAACAGGAACUUUAAAUUAUAUAUUUUUGUUGUGAGAAUGCUAUAUAAUUGAUUUAUUUACCAGAAAAUAGGUGCGAACAUAAUUAUAUUUAUUUUGUUAUUAUUCAUUCUCAUAUUACACUGGGGAAGGAGCUAAUUACAAUGAAAUGAAUCACAUUGCUUUUAAAUGGAAAGUCAUUAGGUUGGUAUAGGAUGACCCUCCUUAAAUGCACUUAAUUGAGUUUUUAUACAUUAAUUUAUUCAUUUCUGUUAAUUAUUUAAAAUAAGUCCUUAAAAAUAAGUUUCAUAAAAUAAUUUAGGUAAAGGAACCAGUUCCUGACAUAUCCAUAUUAAUGUUUGUUUUUAUCAAAAUCAUAAUGAUGCACCAUGCACUGGAUUGAAUUGUUAGUUAUUAAACACUACCUAUGAUAAGCUAUUAAUAGCUACUUUUAUGCUAUGGUUCUUUUUAUGAGCAUUUUUCAGUGCAUCACAAAU